GGGAAGGUAGCUCAGUGGUAGAGCGCUUGCCUUGCAUGCAUGAGGCCCUGGAUUCGAUUCUCCAGCACUACUU
rfam:Dipodomys ordii contig_65936, whole genome shotgun sequence.